rnacentral:other from 1 species
UUAACCCUGCGGUGUUCGACAGCGACAUGUGUUGUCUUGAGCCGAUAAGCAAAUGCUUACCGAAACCAAAAUUUCGGGAUUGAAAAACAGGCCCGCUCUGACGGGAAGUUUGCCAGUCCCAUGCGGUUUCACUCUUGGACCUCCUGGUUCAAGAACCCCGUUCGCAUCGGCACUGUGGGGGCUAU